UACGAAGGUGGCAAGCGUUGUUCGGAUUUACUGGGCGUAAAGGGAGCGUAGGUGGUUAGGUAAGCCCUCCGGGAAAUCUUCAGGCUUAACCUGAAAAGGUCGGGGGGGACUGCCUGGCUAGAGGACGGGAGAGGAGCGCGGAAUUCCCGGUGUAGCGGUGAAAUGCGUAGAUAUCGGGAGGAACAUCAGUGGCGAAGGCGACCACCUGGCCCAACACUGACGCUGAGGUGCGAAAGCGUGGGUAGCAAACAGG
rnacentral:rRNA from 1 species